rnacentral:sRNA from 12 species
UGCAUCUGAAGUCUGACGAGGAUGAGAACCUCCGGGGGCAAGAGGUUCGACUCGAGCGAAGCGAGAGAACGUUGCGUCAGCAACGGCCCGCAGGGCGAGCCAUCCUCUAUCACCGGCAG